CCAAGGAGUCUAACAUGUGCGCGAGUCAUGGGGUUACACGAAACCUAAAGGCGCAAUGAAAGUGAAGGCAGCCUCGGGUUUGCCUAGGUGGGAUCCCUCUUUUCGCAAGGGGGCGCACAACCGGCCCGUCUCGUCCUCGUCGAGGUGAGGCGGAGCAAGAGCGUACACGUUGGGACCCGAAAGAUGGUGAACUAUGCCUGAGUAGGACGAAGCCAGAGGAAACUCUGGUGGAAGUCCGUAGCGAUUCUGACGUGCAAAUCGAUCGUCGAACUUGGGUAUAGGGGCGAAAGACUAAUCGAACCAUCUA
rnacentral:rRNA from 1 species